GCCACUGUAGUGCAAUGAACGGAUAGCGCGUUGGACUUCUAAUCCAGAGAUCGUGGGUUCGAAUCCCACCUGGGGUGGCC